UAAUGUUAUAAUGGCUAGUUUUGAUGUUACUUCACUCUUUACUAACAUCCCUGUUGAUGAAACGAUUGAGAUAAUUACUAAUCGUUUGUUUUCUAACUGUUGUAGAUUUCAUGGCCUCACUCGUUCUGAUUUUACUAAACUCUUAAGUCUUUCUGUCAAAAAUUGUCAUUUCGUGUUCAAUGGUCGUUUAUAUCAUCAAGUUGACGGCGUAGCUAUGGGUAGUCCUUUAGGACCUUUGUUUGCUAACAUAUUUAUGUCCUUUCACGAAAAGGAUUGGCUUCACAACUGUCCUUCGUCUUUCAAACCACUUCUCUAUAGACGAUAUGUUGACGAUUGUUUCCUACUUUUCCGUUGCUCAGAGCAUGUACAGCUCUUUCUCACAUAUCUUAAUCGCCAGCACACCAACAUUCGCUUCACUAGUGAGGUUGAACGUGAUGGUAAGCUCCCAUUUCUUGACAUUGACAUAUCCCGCUCCAAUGGAAAAUUUUCUACUUCUGUUUACCGUAAACCUACGUUUACUGGUCUUUUUACUAACUUCCAUAGCUUCAUUCCACUUACAUACAAACGCAGCAUAAUAUCUUGCUUAAUACACCGCAUCUUUAGCAUUUGUUCUAGCUAUGAGACUUUCCAUCACCAACUUGAAGCAGCACGUAGAAUGUUUAUCUUAAAUGGUUUCCCUUCUCAUAUGUUCGACCGAUGUGUUAGAACUUUUCUUAACAAAGUAUUUCAACCUAAGCUACCUGUUCAUACUGUUCCUAAGAAAAUAAUUUAUUUCUGUCUCCCUUUUACGGGCACUCACUCCUUGCAAAUUCGCACGCAAAUCAACCGUCUUUGUCGUGCUGCUUUACCACAUCUUGAUAUAAGAUGUGUCUUUCGAUCAACUAAACGGCUCUCAACCUUUUUCUCUUUUAAGGACAAAAUACCCAAAGCACUGAAGUCGGGUGUAGUGUACUCUUUUACGUGUCGAUGCUGUUCCGCAUCGUAUGUGGGUCAAACCACGCGCCAUCUACACACCCGAGUUUCGGAACAUCUGGGUAUCACUCCUAUCACUGGCAAACAAUGUAAAAAUCCUCCCCUGUCCAGCAUUUUCUCACAUCUCACAUCCACAGGCCACGCUGCUUCUAUUGACGACUUCGAAAUCCUCUCCUCUUGUUCAGAUGAACAAGAACUCCUUAUUCACGAAAGCUUUUUUAUCUCUAAAAUGAAACCCUCUCUCAACGUUCAAGGCAGUUCAAUCCCUCUUCACGUAUUCUGAUCUCUUUUUUUUUCUUUUUUUUUUUAUGUUUUGUCUGUUUGUGUUGUCUAA